rfam:Loxodonta africana unplaced genomic scaffold scaffold_42, whole genome shotgun sequence.
UAGCAUAGUGGUUAAGUGUUAUGGCUGCUAACCAAAAGGUCGGCAGUUCGAAUCUGCC